rnacentral:rRNA from 1 species
AUUGAACGCUGGCGGCAGGCUUAACACAUGCAAGUCGAGCGAGCGGCGGACGGGUGAGUAAUGUCUGGGAAACUGCCUGAUGGAGGGGGAUAACUACUGGAAACGGUAGCUAAUACCGCAUACCAUCAGAUGUGCCCAGAUGGGAUUAGCUUGUAGGUGGGGUAAUGGCUCACCUAGGCGACGAUCCCUAGCUGGUCUGAGAGGAUGACCAGCGAAACUGGAACUGUGACACGGUCCAGACUCCUACGGGAGGUAGCAGUGGGGAAUAUUGAGCAAUGGGCGCAAUCCUGAUGAAGCCAAGCCGCGUGUGUGAAGAAGGCCUUCGGGUUGUAAAGCACGUUCAGCGAGGAGGCGUUACUGGCAGAAGAAGCACCGGCUAACUCCGUGUCAGCAGCCGCGGUAAUAC